CAAAUGAUAGCUUAAUAAUAAAGUAUUUCAUUUACAUUGAAAAGAUAUUUAAUUAAAUUGAUUUAA
rnacentral:tRNA from 1 species